rnacentral:rRNA from 1 species
UUAAGUGACGAUAGCCUAGGAGAUACACCUGUUCCCAUGCCGAACACAGAAGUUAAGCCCUAGUACGCCUGAUGUAGUUGGGGG